AACUGAUUUUUCUGGCUUCUCACGCAGCCACGUCACCUCUAUUAUUAUUAGCCAUUGGAUCAACAACGAACGCAAUCAACUACGAACGCUAACUCUCGAUGCGUUCCCGUGUCGACUUCCAGCGCCUGGGCUGUACGUAGCCAUCUGUUGAGUGCACGUGGGCUGCGCAAGCCAAGUACAUGGGCUUUCAAUCCCGCAAGUGUUUGCCCAAGCCCAAGCCAGAUCUGUCUAAAAAAAGUGCUUUGCCCGAGUCAAUAUUUCGUACGUUUGCUGUAUGGCGCAUGGGUGUCAACCGGCACCGCUCAUCUUCUUUAGCUCAAAAUAAAAAAAGAGUCGCUCAUCUUCUCCGCGUGACUCUAAUCGCCGCCGCUAUCUCUUCCGCUGCAGCGACCGAAUCUCUCCCGACGCAUUCAUCGCCCCUCAUUAUCUUGCCCUCCGUUACAGGAAGAAAAGUUAGAUUAAACUGCGCGGCCACCGCCUUCGCGUCUACUAACCUGUCUAUGCUACCAUCCUCCCCACCAUCGCCGGUCUGCCUCUGUUCGGAUUCAAUUCUGGGUGCGGGUAGGACGCGGUUCCGUUGUCGAGCACCCACAUCGUCGAGGAAGACACGCCGUUGCUCUGCUUCGGACCACCUCCCGUACACCCGCCUAUCCGCGUCGCCUCGCUCCAAUGUGUCUCUGAUCGUGGGAACACAGAACGGGCCGACGGCCGCCGUCGGCGGGAGGAGAGGUGGGGAAUCCGACUCAAUCUCUGAACAGGACUUCCAAAGGGACUCCACCUUUGGGGCUAACACAUCAGCUUAUCAGUCCAACAUCUGUUCAUCCGCUCCACACGCGUUUGACACUCCCAAGGCUAGGCUAUCAGCUCGAUGUGCUUCCACAUGGACUUCAUGGAGAUUCUGUUUCACUUGGACAUAAGCAAUAUUAUUGAUGUGCAAUGGCAUCAUUCCUACCAAGGGGUUGGCAAAAUUGCAAGCAGCAUCUAGAUCCAUCCAAUUCAUUGACUGUUGUUGUUUUGGAUAACCCGAUGCACCUGCAUAUCUUGAUUUAUCAGCAGGCCGCACGCCACCAGCAAUUCGGCAAUUUUUACUUCAUCUACCAACCGGAGAUGUUGGAGUCCAGGAGCCAGACGCCACCGUCGACGACGACAC